GGACCUCCUGGAAUACAAGGAAUACACCAAACUCUUGGUGGAUAUUAUAACAAGGAUAACAAGGGAAAUGAUGAACAUGAAGCUGGAGGCCUGAAAGGAGACAAGGUUUAAUUAUCAUAGCUGUAAAGAUGACAGAUUCACUUCCCCAUUCAAUAAGAUGUUUCACUCCUGUUUGAUUCUGAAAUUGUAAUGACCUUGGAUUCCAUGUGAAUGUGCCAUUGUCAGAAAAAAAAUGCACAUUAAAUCUACAGGCAGA
rnacentral:lncRNA from 1 species